CUAGCUAAGAUUUGAUUCCUUUCGAGAACAAUUCCAUUCAACAACUCCUGAAGGUACAUUAAUUUACUCUUUCACUUUUGUAAUAUCAUUCUCUCUUUCUGUUUUUAAUUGGAUGAAUUGUGAUGCAGGAAAGGACGGCGUUGAUCCAACUUCUUGCGGAAAGAAAGUAUCCUCUCGUGCUCUUUUUAGGAUCUGAAUCGAAAGCAUUAAAUUGAAAUGUUAAUGUUAAUUGAACUAAUGUUGUUUGAAAAUUGAACAGUAAGAUCAUUGAAGUGAGUGGCGCGGAGCUGCAGAGGCUGAGAGGCGAUGUGAAGAAGUUGCAGCUUCAAAACUGGAACCUCGCUCAGUCAAAUAGCCACAUGUUAGCGGAGCUUAACUUGGGGAGAGAAAGGAUAAAAACGCUGCAGCAUGAAAUUUUGUGGAGAGCUGCUUUGCUUAAAGGAAAGACCAUGGACGUGCAGGAAAAAGUGGAGAUUACAUAUGUGAGUGACACUGUUUAGUGAAAACUGGAACUGAAGAGAGUCAAGUAUAGAUUAAUGCAUCAAAAGUGGAGAUUGUUGUUCAUUUUGGAUGCUUACUGUGAUUUCCUUUCAACAUUUUCCCAAACUAAGAUAGUUUUGGAAAUGCAUGUACACUUGUGUUCCUUCCAAUGAGUAGCACUAUGUCAUAUAUAUAGUAGUCAAAGACUCUUAGUUCUAAGUAGUAAUUAGACACUGUAUAAGUGUAUAUGUUACCUAUUAGAGUGCCACUAUAAACAUGAUAAUAACAACAUUACUAAAUGUUGAAAAGUUUGAAUAAUGUAAUAAUAUUUUCCUUGGCAAACAUUGCAUGGAAAUAAGAUCUUAUUAAGUUAUUAGCAAUAAUUGGUAUAUGAUUGGUCAAUAGAGGAA